rnacentral:rRNA from 1 species
AGCAUCUGAGAUAAGUAGGACCACC